rnacentral:tRNA from 1 species
GCCGGCGUGGCGCAGUUGGUAGCGCAACCGCCUUGUAAGCGGUAGGUCAUCGGUUCGAAUCCGAUCGCCGGCU